rnacentral:rRNA from 1 species
AAAGCUUUUGCGCUUUGGGAUGGGCCUGCGUCCUAUCAGGUUGUUGGUGAGGUAAUAGCUCACCAAGCCUAUGACGGGUAGCUGGUCUGAGAGGAUGACCAGCCAGACUGGGACUGAGACACGGCCCAGACUCCUACGGGAGGCAGCAAUUAGGAAUCGUGCACAAUGGACGCAAGUCUGAUGCCGCGACGUCGCGUGGAGGAUGAAGGUCUUCGGAUCGUAAACUCCUUUUGCCUAGGAGCAAGUUCUGAGAGUACUAGGCGAAUAAGUGCCUGCUAACCACGUGCCAGAAGCAUCGGUGAUACGUGGGGCACAAGCGUUAUCCGGAUUUACUGGGCGUAAAGAGAUGCGUAGGCGUCUUCUUAAGUUACUUGUUAAAUCUCCAGGCUCAACCUGGAAAGCGCAAGUGAUACUGGGAGGAUUGAGUCAGGUAGAGGAGGGAGGAAUUCCUGGUGGAGCGGUAAAAUGCGUAGAUAUCAGGAGGAACACCAAUGGCGAAGGCAUCCCUCUGGGCCUGCACUGACGCUAAGGCUCGAAAGCGUGGGGAGCAAAACGGAUUAGAUACCCGUGUAGUCCACGCUGUAAACAAUCCCUGCUAGAUGUCGGACCAAGUGCG